rnacentral:lncRNA from 1 species
UGCCAUCCAGACUGAGGAAGAGCCGGAAACUUCAGGGCCACACGAGCCACGGCCAUGGCCACAUCACCGAGUGCGGAAGCACCGUGGAGGCUGUGGUAAUGCAGGUGGUGUGCACCACCACAGGAUCAACUUUGACAAAUGUCACCCAGGUUAUGUGGGAAAGCUGGUGUGAGGCAUUACCACUUAAAGAGGAAACAGAGCUUCAGCCCAACUGUCAACUUUGACAAACUGUGGACUAUGAUCCGUGAGCAGACACAGGCAAAUGCUGCUAAAAACAAGACAUCACUGCUGUGGUGCAACUGGGCUACUAUAAAGUUCUGGGAAAGGGAAAGCUCCCAAAGCAGUCUGUCAUCAUGAAGGCCCAAUUC